rnacentral:tRNA from 1 species
GGCUUGGAAGUGCAGUGGUAGCACAUUCCAUACUGAGCACUCUGAAGUUAUGGCCAGACGAGACGCUGAGGUUGGAAAGGUCGUGGGUUCAAGUCCCACCUAGGCCU